CUCCGGUUGAUCCCGCCGGACCCGACUGCUAUCAGAGUGGGACUAAGCCAUGCGAGUCAACGUAGCAAUACGUGGCAUACGGCUCAGUAACACGUAGUCAACAUGCCCAGGGGACGAGGAUAACCUCGGGAAACUGAGGAUAAACCUCGAUAGGCCAUGAUUUCUGGAAUGAUUCUUGGCUCAAACCUAUAUGGCCCCUGGAUUGGACUGCGGCCGAUCAGGCUGUUGGUGAGGUAAUGGCCCACCAAACCUAUUACCGGUACGGGCUCUGAGAGGAGGAGCCCGGAGAUGGGCACUGAGACAAGGGCCCAGGCCCUAUGGGGCGCAGCAGGCGCGAAACCUCUGCAAUAGGCGAAAGCUUGACAGGGUUACUCUGAGUGAUUUCCGCUAAGGGAAUCUUUUGGCACCUCUAAAAAUGGUGCAGAAUAAGGGGUGGGCAAGUCUGGUGUCAGCCGCCGCGGUAAUACCAGCACCCCGAGUGGUCGGGACGAUUAUUGGGCCUAAAGCAUCCGUAGCCGGUCCUGCAAGUCUUCCGUUAAAUCCAGCUGCUCAACAGAUGGGCUGCGGGAGAUACUACAGGGCUAGGAGGCGGGAGAGGCAAGCGGUACUUUAUGGGUAGGGGUAAAAUCCGCUGAUCCAUAGAAGACCACCAGUGGCGAAGGCGGCUUGCCAGAACGCGCUCGACGGUGAGGGAUGAAAGCUGGGGGAGCAAACCGGAUUAGAUACCCGGGUAGUCCCAGCUGUAAACGAUGCAGACUCGGUGAUGGGUUGGCCUCGCGCCUGCCCAGUGCCGCAGGGAAGCCGUUAAGUCUGCCGCCUGGGGAGUACGGUCGCAAGACUGAAACUUAAAGGGAUUGGCGGGGGAGCA
rnacentral:rRNA from 1 species